UACGUAGGCAGCAAGCGUUGUUCGGAAUUACUGGGCGUAAAGGGCUCGUAGGUGGCCAACUAAGUCAGACGUGAAAUCCCUCAGCUUAACUGGGGAACUGCGUCUGAUACUGGAUGGCUUGAGUUUGGGAGAGGGAGGUAGAAUUCCACGUGUAGCGGUGAAAUGCGUAGAUAUGUGGAGGAAUACCGAUGGCGAAGGCAGCCUCCUGGGCCAACACUGACGCUCAUGCACGAAAGCGUGGGGAGCAAACAGG
rnacentral:rRNA from 1 species